UACGCGACAGGUCACCAGGCCCAGAAGAGUUGUCCGAGAGACACUGGGUACUAUUGCGAUAGAACUAAGAUAGUUAACACAGCACGUGAACUUUAGUUAUGAAAUUUAGUUAUUAAGAGGAAUAUGGGAGAUUGUUAUUGAGUUUUUCUUUUGGAUUCGAUAGGGACACAUUCGUGAACCGCACAUCGAUACACGACACAUCGACUCAUCAACACAGCAUAAUUUCGAGAAUUUCUAUCUUGUGGCAUAAUAACGACAUGAGAGAUAAUGAAUCUUCGUUUAAUCUGAUUAGGAAAUAGAUGUAUGUAUUGAAUGCGAGUUUCAUGAAGGACCCAAUAAAUAUAGAUUGAUGAAAGCAUA